UCCAGCCGCUAGAUGGCAGACGUCGCACAAAGGUAGUACAACCGCACAUAGAAAGAACGAUAUUCUCCGAGUGACGUAACGGUGCCAAAACAUUUUAUCAAAUAGACUUCUAGACAGGCGUGCUGACUUUACAUAUACAUGUGGCCUCCUGGACUGCUACCCACGGGGACAAAAUGUUGUGUGCAUCAACCUUGACUAUGAGUCAAUGGUAGCUGUGUGCUCUUUUUGUUCCUUUUUAUUAUUUUAUUUUUUUUGGCCAAGUAGGAGUUUGGUUUGCAAUUUUUGGUUUAUUUCAUUUCAUUUAUUUGCAGGGAAAAAGAUGUCAUUUUCUUGGCAUCGAAAUUCAACGAGGACGGAGUUGAUUACGGUCUGAUAAGUCUGCCAUCUAAUCCACCAGUCAUCUGAAUCCCACGUCUCACCGACACUAGGAUGAAAGAGCAUCUCACCGGAGCCGAGGCGCCUGUGUGCGUGAUCAGGAGGGGAAGGGAGAAGGCCUUAGCGCCAAAUGUCAGUGCUUUUCCUGUGAAGCAAGCCUCAUCAAAGGAGGAUUAGUGUCGGCCUGAUGGCUUCACCGGACGAGCAAGUUGUGAUGGGGUAAGCUCAUGCACGACGAAAACUUAAAGAUAUUCAGCCUUUCAUGUACGCUAGCCCAUACCCGCGACCUGAAUGUACACAGCGUUAUCAAGCUCACAAAUAGUUACGUUAAAUAGUCUGGCACGCACUUGAUGGGCUUCACCUCUGUUAUUGUGACUCACUCAAAGCC